AGUGACUGCUUCAUUAUGGAGUCAGUGCCUCUGAAAGCUUCGGUUACAAUCCGACAUGGAAGCAACUCACAUUAGACCAUCCAGAUGUCUUCACUGGAAGUCCAUGUUCAGCUCUUUGAUCAGCUGAAUAAAGGACAAGAAAGCUUUGAUUAUCUUGGCAGCCAAAGUAAGUCCAGAAGAAUUUUCAAUGCAUCUAUGCACCUGACCGAAUCGACCUCUGCAAGAUACUAUUCCAUUAACAACAAGAAGAACAUUCCCUUUGAAGAGAUGGAUUAACACCUAGUGAUUAGUGUCCAGCUGGUGUGGAGGUCUCCUUCUUCAGUUUGCUGAAAUCCAACUUGAUUUCCACACCAUCAGCUUUGAAAACACCACGGAGAUCUUCGGGUUCCUGUAGCUCCUGCUCGCCCUGGUCUUGCCCCUCCUCAACCCUGCUCUUCUUGUGGUCCUCCAAACCCAG